rnacentral:rRNA from 1 species
UACGUAGGUGGCAAGCGUUGUCCGGAUUUACUGGGCGUAAAGCGUGCGCAGGCGGCUCAUUGCGCCCGGCGUGAAAGCCCCCCGGCUCAACCGGGGGAGGGUCGUCGGGGACGGGUGAGCUUGAGGGUAUCAGGGGGUUGGUGGAAUUCCCGGUGUAGUGGUGAAAUGCGUAGAGAUCAUGAGGAAGACCAGUGGCGAAGGCGGGGUCUCUGGACAGUUCCUGACACUGAGACAC